UGCUGGGGCGGCUCAUAUAUAAAAUUCACUUCCACUUUCCCUUCCUCAGACACCGUUCCAUACAUAAACCCGCCCCUUUUCACAGCAAAUGCAAGCGUCUCGUUAACAUACUGCUGGAAUGCAUUGGCACAUUCCCGAUCGAAAGACACCGAAUCACAAUGAGGAUUUUCUUGUCUGGUAACUCGCAUUUGUUUGGCAAUUAGGUCAUCCAUAGUCAUCUUGCGGCCGAAGGAUCCAGCGGGAUGAAUAGCGGGUCCAGCUAUGGUCCUCUCGCCCUCAUAGGCCAAG
rnacentral:misc_RNA from 1 species